rnacentral:lncRNA from 1 species
UUUACAAAGGAAAUAGAUUUCACAUCUAUUGUUUUAAAAAUAGGUGCAAAAUCAUAAUUGGUUUUUAAGAAUUUAUGAUUUUAUAUCGAUUGUUUAAAAAAUAGGUGUAAAAUUGUUUUUCUUUAAAUUGUUUUUUCCAAAAUUGUUUUAAAAUUAUAUUUUUUUAAUUUUAUAUCAUAAUUUUAAUUUUUUAUUUAUU